CCUACGGGAGGCAGCAGUGAGGAAUAUUGGUCAAUGGACGCAAGCCUGAACCAGCCAAGUAGCGUGCAGGAUGACGGCUCUAUGAGUUGUAAACUGCUUUUGUACGAGGGUAAACGCAGAUACGCGUAUCUGUUUGAAUGUACCGUAUGAAUAAGGAUCGGCUAACUCCGUGCCAGCAGCCGCGGUAAUACGGAGGAUUCAAGCGUUAUCCGGAUUUAUUGGGUUUAAAGGGUGCGUAGGCGGUCGGUUAAGUUAGAGGUGAAAUGCCGAGGCUCAACCUCGGAAUUGCAGCUGAUACUGGUCGGCUUGAGUGUAGGUGAGGUAGGCGGAAUUCGUGGUGUAGCGGUGAAAUGCUUAGAGAUCACGAAGAACACCGAUUGCGAAGGCAGCUUACCAAGCUGCUUCUGACGUUGAGGCACGAAAGCGUGGGGAGCAAACAGGAUUAGAUACCCUUGUAGUC
rnacentral:rRNA from 1 species